UACGAAGGGGGCUAGCGUUGCUCGGAAUCACCGGGCGUAAAGCGCACGUAGGCGGUUUGUUAAGUCGGAUGUGAAAUCCCUCGGCUCAACUGAGGAAGUGCAUCCGAAACUGGCAAGCUUGAGUACGAAAGAGGGUCGCGGAAUUCCCGGUGUAGAGGUGAAAUUCGUAGAUAUCGGGAGGAACACCGGUGGCGAAGGCGGCGACCUGGGUCGAUACUGACGCUGAGGUGCGAAAGCGUGGGGAGCAAACAGG
rnacentral:rRNA from 1 species